AAGUCGAACGGUAACAGGUCUUCGGAUGCUGACGAGUGGCGAACGGGUGAGUAAUACAUCGGAACGUGCCUAGUAGUGGGGGAUAACUACUCGAAAGAGUAGCUAAUACCGCAUGAGAUCUACGGAUGAAAGCAGGGGACCUUCGGGCCUUGUGCUACUAGAGCGGCUGAUGGCAGAUUAGGUAGUUGGUGGGGUAAAGGCUUACCAAGCCUGCGAUCUGUAGCUGGUCUGAGAGGACGACCAGCCACACUGGGACUGAGACACGGCCCAGACUCCUACGGGAGGCAGCAGUGGGGAAUUUUGGACAAUGGGCGAAAGCCUGAUCCAGCAAUGCCGCGUGCAGGAUGAAGGCCCUCGGGUUGUAAACUGCUUUUGUACGGAACGAAAAGCCUGGGGCUAAUAUCCCCGGGUCAUGACGGUACCGUAAGAAUAAGCACCGGCUAACUACGUGCCAGCAGCCGCGGUAAUACGUAGGGUGCAAGCGUUAAUCGGAAUUACUGGGCGUAAAGCGUGCGCAGGCGGUUUUGUAAGACAGUGGUGAAAUCCCCGGGCUCAACCUGGGGACUGCCAUUGUGACUGCAAGGCUAGAGUGCGGCAGAGGGGGAUGGAACUCCGCGUGUAGCAGUGAAAUGCGUAGAUAUGCGGAGGAACACCGAUGGC
rnacentral:rRNA from 1 species